CAUUAUGUUUCUGAAGGUGCUUAUCACGUGUCAAAUUCAAUUAUUGAAUUAUCAGUAUUUUCACUCACUAUACAAAUUAGCAAAUCAAAAACAGUUGGAAGACUAAGUAAUUCCUUAUCAUUGAUUUUCUCAUAAACAAAGUUAAUUAGAGAGAGAGAAGAAGAAGAAAUAAAGGGUGGGAAAUGGGUGUAAGAUGGAGGGGACUAGAGGUGUGUUUGAGUGUGGUGUUAAUAGCAGCAAUAAGUGGUAUUGAAGCAGAAGAAAAAGGAAAACAUGGUGUGAUUACAAUAAAUCAUUCUAACUUCGCUGAUAUUGUUUCCAAACAGGAUUUCAUCUUAGUAGAGUUUUAUGCUCCUUGGUGUGGAUUUUGCAAAAGACUAGCUCCAGAGUAUGAGAAGGCUGCCGUUACACUAAGCAAGCACGAUCCUCCGAUCCCCCUUGCGAAAGUUGAUCUUACUACUGAUGAAAAUAAGGAAUAUUUUAAGUCUAUGUUUGAAGUCCGAGGCUUUCCCACCCUUAAAAUUCUGAGAAAUGGAGGAAAACAUAUCCAUCAUAUCACCAAUACACCACAAUCAGCUGAAGAAAUAGUUAAGCUUGUCGAGAAAUUCCUGGGACCGGCUUCUGUUGAAAUCAAAUCUUAUGCUGAUUCUUCUAAAUACAUCGAUGAAAAGAAGACUUUCGUUGCAGGGGUGUUCACAAAGUUUGAAGGGGAAGAAUUUGAAAACUUCACCAAGUUGGCUGACAAAUUGCGGUUUGAAUACGAGUUUGGGCAUACAUUAAAUGCUAAAUUUCUUCCCAGAGGACCAGAUUUUGUCAAAGAGUCUACUGUUAGAUUCCUAAAGCCAUUUGAUGAACGUUUCGUUGAUACAAAGAUUUUUGAUUUGGAUGCCUUGGAGAAGUUCAUCAAAGAAGAAGAUAUGCCUACGGUUGUUCCAUUCAACAAGGAUCCCAGCAAUACCUACCUUCGUAAAAUUUUCCGUGAACAAAACGCAAAGAUCUUCAUGAUAUUGGACACCAAAAGUGUAAAUGCUGACAUUAUGAAGUCCAAAUUUAAUGAUGUGGCUGUCCUGCUCAAAGGAGGAAAUAGAUACUUUAUACUUUGUGAUGUUGAAGAAAGCAAAGAACUAUUAGAGACCUUUAAGCUUGAUCAUUCUCAUACGCCGUUCAUCUUUAUAUAUGAAAAUGACGAUAAGAAAUACCGUAAGACAAAUUUGAAGCCCGAUGAAGUUGCUUUUUGGUUCCGAGACUACAUGAAUGGAAAACUCGAACUUUAUCUAAGAUCACAACCUAUUCCCCAAGAGAACAAUGAGCCUGUAAAGGUGGUGGUUCUUGAUAGCUUGCAAGAUAUGGUUUUCAACUCUGGAAAAGAUGUAUUCCUAGAGUUUUACGCACCAUGGUGCGGUCACUGCAAGCAGCUAGCUCCAAUCUUGGAAGAAGUCGCUAUCUCAUAUGAAAAGGACACUGAUAUCUUGAUUGCAAAAUAUGAUAAAAGUGAAAAUGAUAUCCCAAGUGAAGUUUUCAAAGUGGAAGAUACUCCAACCAUGUAUUUCAUUAAAAAGGAAGGAGAAAUAAUAGAGUACAAUGGUGGUAAAACAAAGGAGGACCUUAUUAGAUUCAUCCAAGAACACAGGAAUGACAAGGAGAGCAAGAGCGAGGCAGAGAUGAAGAGUAACAAGGAUGAAUUGUGAUACUUUUAUCCCAUGCAAUGUUUGUUUGUCCUAAUUGUAUAUUCCUUGGUCUCUAAUAAAGUGGUGAAAUACCACCACCACUACAUUAAACACUUGUCUUCUCACCCCUCUUUUCUUAUUUCCCCAUUGCGCUCAAUUCAUAAGAGGAAGUUGGAACUUUAGUUGGGUGACUUUUGUGACUUGUGGUCGUGCAGUGACGCUUACAGGUCUAAUGUCGAGCAGCAGAAGGAUCAUAGACAGGCAUAGCAGGUAUUGGAGUUUCUUUUUCAUUGCCUUGCAUUGGGGGAGAGUGAUUAGGACGAAGCAUAACCUGUAUCAUACUGUUAUCUUUCGAUUUUGUAGCUCUUGUUUAUCUUUUGUAAACUUUGGUUGUGUAUGUUUUAUUAUGAGACCUCGUGUCUUCCCUUGUAUAUUUGUAUUUCCGCUGCGUAGUUUAUGACUUUGUAUGGUUUUAAGGAGUUAAGUCUUUUUAAAACGUACGCGUUGACACUGGAACCACGAUCCAUGCUUGGGGUAGGGGAUCGAACCACGAGGAUAAGGUUGACAAUAAAUUCACGUCUCAACAUAACUAGUUUUUGUAGGUUGAAGGGCAUCUAAAACUAAU